UACUGCCGAAUUGCGUAUAGGUAGACCCAAGUGUCGCUCAUAGCGCUCUCUUUUUUGUACCCUAAGGUGGUACAGGAAUAAGGGCUGGGCAAGACCGGUGCCAGCCGCCGCGGUAAUACCGGUAGCCCGAGUGAUGGCCGAUCUUAUUGGGCCUAAAGCGUCCGUAGCUGGCCGCGCAAGUCCAUCGGGAAAUCCACCUGCUCAACAGGUGGGCGUCCGGUGGAAACUGCGUGGCUUGGGACCGGAAGGCGCGACGGGUACGUCCGGGGUAGGAGUGAAAUCCCGUAAUCCUGGACGGACCGCCGAUGGCGAAAGCACGUCGCGGAGAACGGAUCCGACAGUGAGGGACGAAAGCCAGGGUCUCGAACCGGAUUAGAUUCCCGGGUAGUCCUGGCGUAAACAUGUCUGCUAGGUGUGGCUCCCACUACGAGUGGGUGCUGUGCCGUAGGGAAGCCGCUAAG
rnacentral:rRNA from 1 species